rnacentral:rRNA from 1 species
AUUGAACGCUGGCGGCAGGCUUAACACAUGCAAGUCGAGCGGAGAUGAGGUGCUUGCACCUUAUCUUAGCGGCGGACGGGUGAGUAAUGCUUAGGAAUCUGCCUAUUAGUGGGGGACAACAUUCCGAAAGGAAUGCUAAUACCGCAUACGUCCUACGGGAGAAAGCAGGGGAGCUUCGGACCUUGCGCUAAUAGAUGAGCCUAAGUCGGAGUAGCUAGUUGGUGGGGUAAAGGCCUACCAAGGCGACGAUCUGUAGCGGGUCUGAGAGGAUGAUCCGCCACACUGGGACUGAGACACGGCCCAGACUCCUACGGGAGGCAGCAGUGGGGAAUAUUGGACAAUGGGGGGAACCCUGAUCCAGCCAUGCCGCGUGUGUGAAGAAGGCCUUAUGGUUGUAAAGCACUUUAAGCGAGGAGGAGGCUACUGAGACUAAUACUCUUGGAUAGUGGACGUUACUCGCAGAAUAAGCACCGGCUAACUCUGUGCCAGCCGCCGCCGUAAGAC